UACGUAGGCAGCGAGCGUUGUUCGGAAUUACUGGGCGUAAAGAGUGUGUAGGCGGUGCUCUAAGUUCGGUGUGAAAUCUCCUGCUUAACUGGGAGGGUGCGCCGGAAACUGGAGUGCUUGAGCGUGGGAGAGGAAAGCGGAAUUCCUGGUGUAGCGGUGAAAUGCGUAGAGUAUCAGGAGGAACACCUGUGGUGUAGACGGCUUUCUGGACCAUUGCUGACGCUGAGACACGAAAGCGUGGGUAGCAAACAGG
rnacentral:rRNA from 1 species